GCGCUUGUAGCUCAGUGGAUAGAGCAACCCUCUCCUAAAGGGUAGGUCGGAGGUUCGAAUCCUCUCAGGCGCA
rnacentral:tRNA from 2 species